rnacentral:rRNA from 1 species
AGUGAACGCUGGCGGUAGGCCUAACACAUGCAAGUCGAACGGCAGCACAGUAAGAGCUUGCUCUUACGGGUGGCGAGUGGCGGACGGGUGAGGAAUACGUCGGAAUCUACUUUUUCGUGGGGGAUAACGUAGGGAAACUUACGCUAAUACCGCAUACGACCUACGGGUGAAAGCAGGGGAUCUUCGGACCUUGCGCGAUUGAAUGAGCCGAUGUCGGAUUAGCUAGUUGGCGGGGUAAAGGCCCACCAAGGCGACGAUCCGUAGCUGGUCUGAGAGGAUGCUCAGCCACACUGGAACUGAGACACGGUCCAGACUCCUACGGGAGGCAGCAGUGGGGAAUAUUGGACAAUGGGCGCAAGCCUGAUCCAGCCAUACCGCGUGGGUGAAGAAGGCCUUCGGGUUGUAAAGCCCUUUUGUUGGGAAAGAACAGCAGCAGGUUAAUACCCCGCUGUUCUGACGGUACCCAAAGAAUAAGCACCGGCUAACUUCGUG